AGCUCAAAUUUGAAAUCUGGCCCCCUCGGGGCCCGAGUUGUAAUUUGUAGAGGGUGCUUCGGCGUUGGCUGCGGUCUAAGUUCCUUGGAACAGGACGUCACAGAGGGUGAGAAUCCCGUACGUGGCUGCCAGCCCCCGCCGUGUGAAGCCCCUUCGACGAGUCGAGUUGUUUGGGAAUGCAGCUCUAAAUGGGAGGUAAAUUUCUUCUAAAGCUAAAUAUUGGCCAGAGACCGAUAGCGCACAAGUAGAGUGAUCGAAAGAUGAAAAGCACUUUGGAAAGAGAGUCAAAAAGCACGUGAAAUUGUUGAAAGGGAAGCGCUUGCAGCCAGACUUGCCCGCAGUCGCUCACCCGGGUCCUUCACCCGGGGCACUCUUCUGCGGGCAGGCCAGCAUCAGUUCGGGCGGCCGGACAAAGACCUCUAUCACGUAUCUUCCUUCGGGAUGACCUUAUAGGGGAGGUGUAAUGCGGCCAGCCCGGAUUGAGGUCCGCGCAUCAGCUAGGAUGCUGGCGUAAUGGCUGUAAGCGGCCCGUCUUGAAACACGGAUCAAGGAGUCUAACAUCUAUGCGAGUGUUUGGGUGUCAAGCCCGAGCGCGCAAUGAAAGUGAACGGAGGUGGGAACCCCCCCCGGGGCGCACCAUCGACCGAUCCUGAUGUCUUCGGAUGGAUUUGAGUAAGAGCAUAGCUGUUGGGACCCGAAAGAUGGUGAACUAUGCCUGAAUAGGGUGAAGCCAGAGGAAACUCUGGUGGAGGCUCGCAGCGGUUCUGACGUGCAAAUCGAUCGUCAAAUUUGGGCAUA
rnacentral:rRNA from 1 species